UCGUCGCCAUCGGGGCUGCUGGUGCCAGGUGAGGCAGGGUACUCGCGGCCAGGAGUCCCUCUCCCAUCCAUCCCCCAAUCUGCCGCUAAUCCUCAUGCGUGGCCACCGGUCAGAUUUCUCGCCGCUGGCAAAGCUUUCUUGGCCGCCGCAGAUUCUUCUUACCACUAGCAUGUGCUCCCCGCGCUGCUGCUACUCCCGCCACCACUAGGGAUACCCGCCGCCCAGUUCUGAGGGAGCUGGCCAUCUCCCUCCGAAACACCAAUUCUCCAAAAAAAAAAGCAGAGCUCGACAGGAUCUCCCCCAUCCCCGGCCACCCAUCGAUAUCCGGCGAGCGACGCCACCCCACUCAUCCAGAUGGAGGAACGGGACCAUCCGCCGCCGAUCUAUCUCUGCCCCCCAAGAUCCGGCCCGUCUACGGCCGUGCCCCUCUGACCUGACAGGGUCGCCGCCCCGACGGGCGAGCGCGGAGGUGGACGGGCGUGGAGGCGUGUCGUCUGGCGCCGUCUCCGCCACCCGGUUAGCCCGGUUGGUCGCCGUACUGCUUAGCCGGGGUGGAUACCCAUUGUCGGCACGACUGUUUGCGCCGGACGCGAAUGGUUUGCUGUGCUUCAACUGAUUCCUACAAGAGCCAUCGUUCUUAAUCUGUUGCUGUCGUCGGCUGUAGCGCCAACGCCUUCCACUGACCUCUUGCUGUUUUGCAUGUACACAUGUUGGAGAAGGCUGGUGCUGGUACUUCCCCUGCUCCACACUUUUCUGCUCAGCUCCAAGAUGUUUGCGAUUCAAUCUGGUGUGCUAUUCCUUCUGAUACCAUAAUAUCCAAUUGUGGGUAUAUGUAUGAUUCCUUUGAGAUCGUUGAAUCAGGUCAUUAGACUAUUUGUGUUGCUACUCUUUGCUUAAAUAUGCAUUGGAAUAUUUUGGAAUGUCUGAUCUGGAUCAUGAACUUAGGUAUUUGUCCCUCCAUCAUUUCAUUUUCUCAAGUUAUGCAAAUUGUCCAAAUGUUGUGCUUAUAUUUCUCUGACAUCUUGAACUAUGUCGCUUUGUAACAUCCUAAAUUGUUUGUCUUCAUAAUACAUUUCUUUCAUUGGAAAAGGAUGCGGAAGAGUAAGCUGAAGUCAAAUCAAAGAUAAAAGAGAAGGAAAAUGCUACUGUCUUUAGCAUAUCAACCGGAUAGAGUUUAGUAAGCACAAAAUGUGCUUUUCUUACAACACAUAUGCAUUGCCAAAAUAUUACGACCCCUUUGAUUCUCAAGAUUCAAAAUUUCCGCAGGAAUGCGGAGGAAGCAAGGGGAGCGGAUCAACAACUCAACGAGUCUGUCGUGGAGGUCACGAGGAACCCUUAUGAAGGACAUGGACGACAUAUGUCAUGCUCACAAAUGCAAGGUGACCAGCACUAUGGUUUGGGUCAGUGUGGUCGACAAGAUCCUAGAGCACCCUGUCGCUAGCGGGGCUUCUCCGAGUGAUCCGGGGAGAGCGAGCCAUGGAACUCGGCGCUAGGUGCGGCCUCAUGGGAGUGGCAGGACUCAAAUCUAAUGUAUCCACUCUCAUCUCUCAAGGCAGAGCAUCAAUCCAGUAGUCGUAGACGACUCACACCAGCGCAGGUUUGUAGUGGCCGAGAUAAGGUCAUCACCUAAGGCCGUGAAGGCGCUAAUCAUCGUGGGAGAUACCGGUGGCGCCGGUGUUAUAAUCUACCCGUAGCAACGGGUGAAUCCAUGUUUACGUAUAAAUCAAAUGUUGUUACCUGAUUUUUUUUUACCAUGCUUGGAUAACUAGAAUUUUUUUUAUAAAAUUCUCCUGUUGUAGGCACGUGGUUCACUUGAACUGAAGGUGUAAUCUGCCAUUGCAUUUACGACAAAGUAUUUUCUCUGAAGAAAUUUGACUAGCUUAACUUAAUUUUAUCUCUGAUGUUACUGAAUGAACUACUCCUAGCAUUUUUUGGGUUUUUACUAAUCUCAUGCUUGUUACCUUUGAUUGUCAUGACAAACCUGCAAUCUACAUAUGUUUAUAGGGGCUUCCAGAGGGAGGAAGAUCUGGAGUUGGCUGGAAUCCUGGAUCCGUCGGUGGGCUCAUGGGGGCUAGAUGGGGCUGAGGGACAAGAAGAGGAACCAGAGGCGCGUGCUCUCGCGACACUCAGCUGGUCCCAAGACCGGUGAGGAAGGAUUUUCCUGUCGCGUGCUUCCCUUUGAACCAAAUCGAGGAGCCGGAGAACAUGGCCACCGUCCUGUAUAUCAGGCACAUCCCCCACGGCUUCUACCAGGAUCAGAUGCAAAGGGAAGCCGUGCGCGUUUGAGAACCCUGAGAUUCCGGCACAGGCACAAAACCUGAGCAAUCCUUUGCCGACUAUUCGCAUAUAGUACUCUUCCAGAUUAAACACGGGACCAAAUUCCAGUAGGUGUGUCUCGGCUUGACCGGCAAGCACGGUAUGAGUUCUUGAUGUGUUGUUUUCUAUCUUUUGGUAACCAGAAAAUUCUAGGUGUAUUUAGAUGAGAAAUUUUGUACCUCCCGUUAACAUAAACUGAUUUUGAGUAGUGAAAAAAUUCUCCAAGUCUAGAAAAUAUUCA